rnacentral:rRNA from 1 species
AUUGAACGCUGGCGGCAGGCUUAACACAUGCAAGUCGAGCGGGGUGAUGGUGCUUGCACUAUCACUUAGCGGCGGACGGGUGAGUAAUGCUUAGGAAUCUGCCUAUUAGUGGGGGACAACAUCUCGAAAGGGAUGCUAAUACCGCAUACGUCCUACGGGAGAAAGCAGGGGAUCACUUGUGACCUUGCGCUAAUAGAUGAGCCUAAGUCGGAUUAGCUAGUUGGUGGGGUAAAGGCCUACCAAGGCGACGAUCUGUAGCGGGUCGGAGAGGAUGAUCUGCCACACUGGGACUGUGGCACUGCCCAAACUCGUACGGGAGGCAGCAGUGGGGAAUAUUGGACAAUGGGGGAAACCCUGAUCCGGCCAUGCCGCGUGUGUGAAGAAGGCCUUAUGGUUGUAAAGCACUUUAAGCGAGGAGGAGGCUCUUUUGGUUAAUACCCAAGAUGAGUGGACGUUACUCGCAGAAUAAGCACCGGCUAACUCUGUGCCAGCCGCCGCCGUAA